GCCAGGCUUUUUCUUAUUUUUUUAAUUUCAUUUUAUUUUAUUUUAUUUCCUUUUAUUUCAAAAAUUCAUAACUCUUUCAUUUUAAAUCCAAAAAAUAUGGGACCAAUUGUAUUAUUUCCCUUUUUAAUUCUAGUUUCUGAAAAUGAUUUUUAAUAUUUUUUAUUUGUCCAUUUAAUAUUUUUUGUGAAUUUUCUCUUUUCUAGUUAUUUUUAAUUCAUUUAAAAUAGUUUUCAAUAUUCAAAAAAUGCAAAAAUAUUUUCUUAACAUCUUUGAAUGAUGAUGAAUCUAUGAAAAAUAUUCUCAUCAAUUUCUUAAUUUAUUUGAGAUUUAUUUGAGAUUUUAGUUCAAUUAUGUUAUUUUUU
rnacentral:lncRNA from 1 species